rnacentral:rRNA from 1 species
GACGAACGCUGGCGGCGUGCUUAACACAUGCAAGUCGAACGGAAAGGCCCUGCUUUUGUGGGGUGCUCGAGUGGCGAACGGGUGAGUAACACGUGAGUAACCUGCCCUUGACUUUGGGAUAACUUCAGGAAACUGGGGCUAAUACCGGAUAGGAGCUCCUGCUGCAUGGUGGGGGUUGGAAAGUUUCGGCGGUUGGGGAUGGACUCGCGGCUUAUCAGCUUGUUGGUGGGGUAGUGGCUUACCAAGGCUUUGACGGGUAGCCGGCCUGGGAGGGUGACCGGCCACAUUGGGACUGAGCUACGGCCCAGACUCCUACGGGAGGCAGCAGUGGGGAAUAUUGCACAAUGGGCGGAAGCCUGAUGCAGCAACGCCGCGUGCGGGAUGACGGCCUUCGGGUUGUAAACCGCUUUCGCCUGUGACGAAGCGUGAGUGACGGUAAUGGGUAAAGAAGCACCGGCUAACUACGUG